rnacentral:lncRNA from 1 species
GUGCCAGAUCUGUUUUCCAGACUGUUCCCUGAAGUCCUGGGAAAGACAGAAAAUGUUGGGGCUUCUCUCCUUUCAAUUGCUUCAUUUUUAUUUUCAUUUGGGGGUUUUCUCCUGAAAUGUAUUUGAGAAAUAGAUUGCCACCUAAAGGAGUUUGUAACUGUCUUUACUAUUGACAUGUAUAAUUAAUAAUUUAAUACUAAUUUCCUAGAAAGUAAUGGAAAUCACUUGCUCUGGUAGUAACUAGGUUUCGUGGUGGGUGUGCAUGAACGUACGAAGCUGCAGAAUGACCCUUUUGGACAUGAUCCUUCAAAAGAGAUUUUUUUGAAUACUACCAGACCCAGAUCAACGCCUACCCCUUCUUAUAACAAAUAUUUGAUAACAUCACCGCAACCAUCGACUGAAAAUCAUGGGUGGUAAAACCUGCCUUUGUACAUAAAGGCAUCAUCCGCAUUUGCUAUUCCAAAAUGAAAUGGAUAGGUACUAUAACUGACUAUAUACAUGCCUAUCAAUGCAGGGUCUUCACUAAUAUAAACCAGAUACACAUGUGUAAGUAUUUUGUAAUGAAGUAAUUGUCUUAAUAUGUAAAUGCUCUAGCAUGAUUAUGCUCCGAGAUGUCCGAAAUAAUGAGAAAAAGCACAUAUCUGUGUUUGUAUGUGAAAUCACCAUGCCCGGGGCAGUCUGCCUUUGGCAGCUCAACCCCAGAAAUGAGAUCGAUGCCAGCAGUGCGAAUUUUCUAAAAUGUGGCCAAUUCUUUUUUUUUGAAUUGAAUGAAAGAUUCUUUCAAUUCUGUAGUACUUUACAACGUUCAAAAGUUGCGCACCCAUGAUUUCACAUGAUCCCAUAACAACCCCCUUCCCCCCUCCCCGUCCCUCUGUUGCCCCUCCCCCUUCCCUUCCCCUCUGAGAACCACUAGUUCUCUGUAUCUGCGAGUCUGCUUCUUUCUUGUUUUGUUCACUAGUUUUUGUAGUUUUUAGAUUCCACACAUAAGUGGUAUUGUACAGUAUUUGUCUUUCUCCUCCUGACUUUACCAGCAUCAUACCCUCCAAAGCCAUCCACGUUGCUGCAAAUGGCAUUACUUCAUUCUUUUUUACGGUAGAGUAGUAUUCCAUGGCGUAUAUAGGCCAUGUCUUCUUUAUCCAUUCAUACGCUGAUGGACGCUUUGGUUGCUUCCAUACCUUGGUAAAUGCUAUCCUCAACCCACUGAGUGAGGCCAGGAAUCGAACCCACAACCUCAUGGUUCCUAGUCGGACUCAUUAACCACUGAGCCACGACGGGAACUCCAAAGCUGGGAUUCAAAUGGAAGCAGUCUAGUUCUGGCAUCCUUGUUUGUCAUCACGUUGCUGUACCCGUCCCCCCAGUUCACAGAAUUGCAUUCCUGAAAACCCCAAUGCAUACUAAAACUGGGCUAAAAAUUCCCUGUAUGUUUAUAUAUAGAAAUAAUUAUAAUUUUAAACUAGACUCAGAAUUCUAAACUGGCUUUCCAUCUACAUGAAUAGUUGGCAGGGCUGUUGAAAGCUGUGCUGGCAGGGGACCAUUCUUCACCGGGAGAGUCUAACCUGGAUGCUGGGGGAGCAUCCCUGCUACACCCGAGGAAUGGAGGUAGUGGCUCUCCCACCAUUGGUACCUCAGAAGCCCUCACAUUUCCAAGAGUGCCUGUGGGGGCCAGGACCAUCCCUUUGAGAACCAGUGAUUGACAAGAAAUCCUGUUUCUGAGAGUCCUCACGGUGCCUCAGCGGUAACAAACCUGACUAGUAUCCUUGAGGAUGUGGGUUUGAACCCUGGCCCCCACUCAGUGGGUUAAGGAUCUGGCAUUGCCAUGAACUGUGGUGUAGGUUGCAGGCACGGCUCGGAUCCUGUAUUGCUGUGGCUGUGGUGUAGGCCAGCAGCUGCAGCCCUUAGCCUGGGAACUUCCAUAUGCCGAGGGUGUGGUCCUAAAAUCAACAACAACAAAAAUCCUGAUUCAUCGAGUGUCAGUCUUCACGUUAUAUAUUUGUCCAUUUUUCUGUCUCUGCUUCUCUCUCCUUGGUUGUCGCUUCACCAAACCAGGAGUUUUAGCAUCUGUUCUCUGGGGGUUGUAUCUGUUUUUGUUUUUUCCAUCUGAAAGUCAAACCGUUGUUACCUCCCCUGGCCCGAACCAUCAGUGUUCCCAAGUGUCAGUUUAUUGGCCCUCAGAAAACUCUAAGAGGUAUUUGCACUUAAUUGUUCACUCACCAAAGAGCAGGCGUAGGUCAGUCUCUUUGACACUAGCGUCUGUUGCUUUUUGCCACUGUUCGCACACGCGGGAUGGCCAUGCAGACCUGAUGUGGAUAUUUCCGCCUAUCGAAUCUGUGGUUACAGGGAAGUGGUUCAGCUUUUGCUCCUAUUCUUGUGAACAGAACCACUGCAUCAUUUCUUUUGGGGGGAGACUUCUGCCAGCCCCUUCCUUGGAGAUGAUAUGGACAGUGGGCCCCUUGAGAAGGAAAAUACUACUUUUGCUAUGGCCCCCUUGGGGUUAGUCAAUGACAUUUGAUUUAUUCACCUUUGAGGUUACCCUGCUGGUGUAUUUUUAAAAUAUGUUCAUGCUAAUCAUGCAGAAGGUGAGUAUUUAAAAAUCAAUUGAUUUUUAUUUUUUCCAUUAUAAUUGAUUCACAGUGUUCUGUCAAUUUCCACUGUAUAGCCAAGUGACCCAGUCAUACAUAUAAAAUAAAAAUCAUAAAAAAAUAUAAUGAGAAAAAGAAAUCAAUUGAGGGAGUUCCUGUUGUGGUGUAGCCGAAAUGAAUCCGACUAGUAUCCAUGAGGAUGUGGGUUUGUUCUGGCCUUGCUCAGUGGGUCAGGGAUCCGGCGUUGCCAUGAGCUGUGGUGUAGGUUGCAGACGUGUCUUGGAUCCGAGUUGCUGUGGCUGUGGCGUAGGAGGGCAGCUGUAGCUCCGAUUCGUCCCCUAGCUUGGGCACUUCCAUAUGCUGUGGGUGCGGCCCUAAAAAGAAAAAAAAAAUCAAUUGAUUAAAACCUGGCUUAAAGAAAAGCUGAACUUUCUGAUGUGUCUUCAAAUAUAUGGAAGGCCUGGAAUGAUGAAUCAGGCCCAGCAGGACCAUGGUUGCUGAUACAAGACUUAAAAAAUAGAUUUUAUAAAUGAUAGGACAUGGGAUUAGAAAAAGCAUUAAUCUUAUUGCAAAAAUUACCUUAUAAUUUUCUGGAAAUUCUCAAAUGCUAAGUGUUGCCUUAGGGGUUUUAUUUAUUUGUGGCCAGAAUGAUUACUAGAAGUGUGCUGGCUUAACAAAGGUUUUAUAAGUAAAGGAAAAAGUGAUUACAUCAAAUUCGGAUUUACCAGAGGGUCAUGUUUUUCUUUAGUUUUAGGUAUAUGAGGCUUGUCCCAAAUGCUGUGUGUGUGUGUGUGUAGAAGAUAAUUUUUUCUUUCAAGAGAAUUUUUCUACUACGAAAAGUCCUUUUGAAAUAAUAGCCUAAGACUAUGAUUUUGCACAGAGGACAGGUAAUAUUUUGUCUGUAACCAACAAAAUAACAUCGCUCCACCAACAGGCUGUCACACACGGUAUUUCAGAACCUUUGGGGCUCCCGUUACACAGACAGGCACAUGCUGUUGGGUUUUAUUUUGUUUCUUUUGCUGCUUAGGGCCGUACCUGCGGCACGUGGAAGUUCCUAGGCUAGGGGUCCAAUCAGAGCUGCAGCUGCCGGCCUACACCACAGCCACAGCAAUACCGGAUCCUUAACCCUCUAAGUGAGGCCAGGGAUCCUUAACCCACUGAGUGAAGCUGCGUCCUCAUGGAUACUAGUUGGUUCGUUCCUACUGGGCCACAGCAGGAACUCCAUGGUGGGUGUUGGGCUUUUAAGGACUCAAUUCUGGUUGUAACCUGCUGGACCCCGGGCCUACGCUAAAUCUCUAUGGCGAUGUUUAUGAAGCUCAUCUCCUGAGUAGACCAUUUGCUGUUCGUCGGAUGCCAGUUGACCACAGACCUUGGGGACUCAAGCAGGUGAGGAGACAACUAAAGAAGUAGGUGUUAGUCCCUAUUCUCUUCUGGGUCCGCCUGCCCUGGAGUCACUGCUCAGAAGAAGACAGUUCCCAGCCUGAGCCUUCAUGUCACCCUUGCAGCUGAAUAUUACACAUGCUCUCCUUUACCAAGCUGCUUGUUUCUUUGACAAGUUGUGAAACUGAAGCUGUAAGAGAAAAUUGAGAAAGAGAACACAAAGGUGUUUGAAAAAGGAAAAUACCCAGGGAUAUGGACAUUCUCAUCAUUUUCUCUCCCCUGGCCUGGAUUCUUGCGUACACUCAAAUGUUUGUGAAGGAAUGAAGGGAAGGAGAGAAAACAUCAGGGUAAAAAAAUCACUUAUUCUUUAUUCUUCCUUUAACCCACGGAGCAAGGCCAGGGACCCAACCUGAUCCUCAGGAUUGUCAAGUUCUGAACCCACUGAGCCACAAUGGAAACUCUGUUUUGUGGCAUUAAGAAAAAAAAAAUUCAUUUAACUUUAGGGUGACAAAGACUGGAUUUUAAGAUAGUCCUUCAACAUUUGGGCAUAGCUUAGUAUGAACCUUUUGACUGAUCUUAGAGAAACAAGAAAGACUGGAAAAAUGAAGUUUAAUAUAAAGUAAUAUUGGGCAGAAAGUAAGAAAUUGUCCUUUUCGUUUUGUGGGUAUGGGAUUCUGUUUUCUUACUCUUGUAUACCUCUGUCACUGCAGCUGAGGCUGUGCCAGGAUGAGAAUGGAGGGGUCUCAGGAAUGGGUACUAAUUUAGGAGUCUUUGACCUUGGCACAUUGGCAUCCGGUAACUAGAAGCACUAGUUGAAACAAGUUACGUAUCUCUCUGCUCCCCAGUUAUCUAUGUAGAGGGGAUAAUAACAGACUCUAUUCAUAGGCUUAUGGGGAUUAAAUGAGAUAAUGUUGGGGAAGCCUGUAGAAUAGCCCAGCACCCCGCCCCCCCAAGUUAGGAGAUGUUGACUCUUGUUGGAACACUGUAGUAGCAGGGUUUACUCCAUCGUAACCUCUAGAAAGAAGGCAGUCAGAGCUGGUAAACUGGGAAUUGCUCUUUCUUCUGUCCAUAGCCAGUAAAAUAGUGCCAUUGUCACACUGUCGGAAAGCUGCUGUGUAGUCCGUGGCCAGGAAAUGUGGUUUUUCCUGGGACAAAUCUCAGUCUCUUCUAAUUUUUGGCUGAGUCAGAACUCAAGAAGCGAUAAGUUCUCUGAUUGGACACAGUCGGGAUAAGAGAGUAGCAUUGAUUUGAUUUAUCAUCCACAUAUCUUUCCUCUUUAAUCCCCCCCCCCACUUUCUUCAACAGAGCGGUGUGGGAAAACAAAGGAAAUCUGAGCAUUUCCCCAUCUCCUAAUAGGCUGAAUGAUGUUUGCCUCCCAUGCCUGGUUUGAACGGUACCCCACAUUUAUUUGUGUUUCAUAUGAUUAGAAAGGAAAAGAAUCAUGUUGAAUGGUUUCUAUGUUGGAAAUUCUCAUGGGAAGGAACUCUUACAUAAACGUAAAGCUAAUAGAUUGUGUCGCCCUUUCCGACAACGCUGAAAGGACUGUCUUCAGAUGCUCGAUCAAAGCCUUGAUGGGUCCAGGGAGAAAAAGGGGAACAAAUUCUAUGAGAGGGACAAAUGGUUGUCCGGUUUGGCUUUCAUUUGGUUGACUGAGUUCUGCCUGACUUUCAACUAUCUAGACACUGGCAGUGUAUCAGCAGACCGAGCACACAGAUCAAGACAUGCCUCUAAGCCCCAUCUCUGCUUGAGCUCUUGUAUUUGUCUCUCUCAUCUGUUAAGCAGAAUCAUGUGAGUUUGUGAGUAUUCAGCCAUAUGAAAAUAAAAACCUACAUUGUCAUAG